GGGGGGGGGGGGGGGGGGGGGGGGGGGGGGGGGGGCGGGCGGGGGGGGCCGGGGGGGGGGGGGGGCGCGGGUGGCGAACGGGUGGGGAACGCGGGGGUGACCGGCCCGUGACUUUGGGAUAACUUCAGGAAACUGGGGCUAAUCCCGGAUAGGAGCUCCUGCGGCAUGGUGGGGGGUGGAAAGUUUCGGCGGUUGGGGAUGGACUCGCGGCUUAUCAGCUUGUUGGUGGGGUAGUGGCUUACCAAGGCUUUGACGGGUAGCCGGCCUGAGAGGGUGACCGGCCACAUUGGGACUGAGAUACGGCCCAGACUCCUACGGGAGGCAGCAGUGGGGAAUAUUGCACAAUGGGCGGAAGCCUGAUGCAGCAACGCCGCGUGCGGGAUGACGGCCUUCGGGUUGUAAACCGCUUUCGCCUGUGACGAAGCGUGAGUGACGGUAAUGGGUAAAGAAGCACCGGCUAACUACGUG
rnacentral:rRNA from 1 species